UACGUAGGGUGCAAGCGUUGUCCGGAAUUAUUGGGCGUAAAGAGCUCGUAGGCGGUUCGUCGCGUCGGCUGUGAAAUCCCGAGGCUCAACCUCGGGUCUGCAGUCGAUACGGGCGGACUGGAGUUCGGCAGGGGAGACUGGAAUUCCUGGUGUAGCGGUGAAAUGCGCAGAUAUCAGGAGGAACACCGGUGGCGAAGGCGGGUCUCUGGGCCGAUACUGACGUGAGGAGCGAAAGCGUGGGGAGCAAACAGGAUUAGAACGUACCGUACGAGUCCAAGACC
rnacentral:rRNA from 1 species